UACGUAGGGUGCGAGCGUUAAUCGGAAUUACUGGGCGUAAAGCGUGCGCAGGCGGUUUGUAAGACAGGCGUGAAAUCCCCGGGCUCAACCUGGGAAUGGCGCUUGUGACUGCAAAGCUGGAGUGCGGCAGAGGGGGAUGGAAUUCCGCGUGUAGCAGUGAAAUGCGUAGAUAUGCGGAGGAACACCGAUGGCGAAGGCAAUCCCCCUGGGCCUGCACUGACGCUCAUGCACGAAAGCGUGGGGAGCAAACAGG
rnacentral:rRNA from 1 species